ACAAAUUAGCCUCUUUCGAUUACAUAAGCAUGUGAAUAAAUAUGCAACCAUAAAAAUACCUAAAACGAUUCAAUACAUAAAACUAGAGUUACUAUCUACAAAAAAUUCUCAAAACACCAAAUCCAUCAAUCCCUACGGAAUAAUUACUCUAUGGAUAUGGAGAAAUUCAUCAAAAGUAAGUUUAAGUCAAAGAAAAACAUAAACAUCCAAACCCUUGUCUUGGGUGAGAAUGAAUGGUGAAAUCCUUGUGCUCUUGCUUCUCCCUCCUCUUCUUAGCUUCCUUAGGUCUAAAUUAUGUCAAAAGUCCUCCAAAUACCGUGUUUCCAUGCAUAUAUACCAAGUAAGGUCGGAAAACAAAUACACCUUUUCCUAUGCAAAAAAAGGACACUUUUCCCGGACAGGACGUGCGUGGCCGCGCACUUGGUCGCGCACUUUUCACACUUGCUGCCCCAUAUGCACGGUCAGUUCGCGGCUGCGCACUUUUCACCCUGUUCUGUUAGAAAUAUGAAGAAACAUAAAACAUAAAAGUUGUAGCCCUUUGAAUUAUCUUUCCAACAAUAUAUUGUGUAGCCCAAUGGAGUUCUUAACAAAGAGUUAUGUGUAUUUUACUAGACAGUGCAUAAUAUGCCUACUCGAUUCUUUGUUUCGUUGCACUAUCAUCCGUUGAUCCCCGAACACGAUCCUGGCUUAAUUUCUUGGGCUUUUACUUAGACUUCAAAGCUCCAAAUCACUUGAAUUCAUUCCAUAAUAUCUACAUAGCUCAGAAUCACUCCUACAAGGCAUAAAACAUACAAUUAGAGCAAAACACUAGCGAUUAAAGCUCAAAUUCAACUAAGGUGUAUUAAAUUGGAGUGCAAAAAGCGACUAAAACAUGAGAUUAUAGCCUACCAUCAGUUACUUUUUUUUAGUAUAUUUUUUGUUCAUAUUCAAUUUGAUAUUUAAGUGUUUUCAAACUUUUAAGGCUUAGAAUUAAGGCUUAAAAUUAAACUUUUAAACUUUAUAAUUAAAUUUUAAAAUUGAAAUUUGAAUUAUAAAAUUUGAAAAUUAAAAUUAAGUGGCUACAUAAAAUUAUUUUAUAAGACCAAUAUGUAAGGAUCAAACUUCAAAGGCUUUCAUUUCAUAUUUUCAUUGCAUAAUAAUACUUCAAAUUAACUUGUCUAAUACACUAACACAAUAAGCUUAAAUAAGUCUAACAAAUUUAAAAUAACACAAAUUGUCUCAAAUCAACUUAAAAUACGAAUUGGUGGAGGACACUCAAGACAACCCUUGAUAUGCCUCCUUAAACUAGCUGUGCCUUCCCCCCUUUCGACGAACAUUAAAGACUAGACCACAGUUCUUACACUGAACUUUGCGAACCUUUUGAUUUUCUUCUACCACCUCAAAGUGUUCCCAAACAUGUGAGGGCACUCAAGAAGUACGGUGCAUGAUUUAACUUGAACCUAACAAAAAUGGUAACCACACUUCACUUGAUAAUUAUAAUAUUGUAGUGGCUACCAUAAAUAAUUGAUAAACUUGAAAUAUUAAUUAAUUGAGAACUUGAGAGCAAUAAGCAAUUCAAUAAUCAAAAGGGAAUUGACAGAGAAAUAGAGUAGAAGAAGAGAGCAAGUUGUGGGAAAAGAUGAAGAAGAGGGGAGCUAUUUAUAGUUAUUAAAAGGCUAAGAAUGUAAUUUAUCAAUUAUUAGGGGAUGAAGGGGCUAUUUUAGUAAGGAGAUAGGCCGAAAUGGCUAAAAGUGCAAAAAAUGGCAGUUGCCUAACGGUCAUUUUUUAUUUUGACCGUUGGAAACGGUCAGAAUUUAAAAUAAAAAAAAUUACAAC
rnacentral:lncRNA from 1 species